rfam:Biomphalaria glabrata isolate BB02 unplaced genomic scaffold LGTN_random_Scaffold8109, whole genome shotgun sequence.
UGGCUGAGGGGUAAAGCGCUUGGCUUUCAAACAGGGGGUCCCGGGUUCGAAUCCUGG